rnacentral:rRNA from 1 species
GACGAACGCUGGCGGCGUGCUUAACACAUGCAAGUCGAACGGAAAGGCCCUGCUUUUGUGGGGUGCUCGAGUGGCGAACGGGUGAGUAACACGUGAGUAACCUGCCCUUGACUUUGGGAUAACUUCAGGAAACUGGGGCUAAUACCGGAUAGGAGCUCCUGCUGCAUGGUGGGGGUUGGAAAGUUUCGGCGGUUGGGGAUGGACUCGCGGCUUAUCAGCUUGUUGGUGGGGUAGUGGCUUACCAAGGCUUUGACGGGUAGCCGGCCUGAGAGGGUGACCGGGCACAUUGGGACUGAGAGACGGCCCAGACGCCUACGGGAGGCAGCAGGGGGGAAUAUUGCACAAUGGGCGGAAGCCGGAUGCAGCAACGCCGCGUGCGGGAUGACGGGCUUCGGGUGAUAAACCGCUUUCGCCUGUGACGAAGCGUGAGUGACGGUAAUGGGUAAAGAAGCACCGGCUAACUACGUG